AGUGAACGCUGGCGGUAGGCCUAACACAUGCAAGUCGAACGGCAGCACAGUAAGAGCUUGCUCUUACGGGUGGCGAGUGGAGGACGGGUGAGGAAUACAUCGGAAUCUACUUUUUCGUGGGGGAUAACGUAGGGAAACUUACGCUAAUACCGCAUACGACCUACGGGUGAAAGCAGGGGAUCUUCGGACCUUGCGCGAUUGAAUGAGCCGAUGUCGGAUUAGCUAGUUGGCGGGGUAAAGGCCCACCAAGGCGACGAUCCGUCGCUGGUCUGAGAGGAUGAUCAGCCACACUGGGACUGAGACACGGUCCAGACUCCGACGGGAGGCAUCAGUGGGGAAGAUUGGACAAUGGGCGCAAGCCUGAUCCAGCCAUACCGCGUGGGUGAAGAAGGCGUUCGGGUUGUAAAGCCCUUUUGUUGGGAAAGAAAAGCAGCAGGUUAAUACCCCGCUGUUCUGACGGUACCCAAAGAAUAAGCACCGGCUAACUUCGUG
rnacentral:rRNA from 1 species